rfam:Terrisporobacter sp. 08-306576 Contig110, whole genome shotgun sequence.
UUAAAUACAGUGAAAAGAAGUAGUAAGAUAUUUGAAGUCUUCACAGAGAAGGAGAAAUGGUGAGAGCUCCUAGAAUAGAAUAUUUGAAGCAGUCUUGGAGUAUCAGUCUGGAAAUUAAGUAUAGAUUGACGGUAGUUACGUUAUAGCUAAGGUUUUCCGAAGAUAUCAUACUCAAUAUGAUAAUUAGGGUGGUACCGCGAAUAUACCUCGCCCCUAUA